rnacentral:rRNA from 1 species
ACAUGAAGCUGGAAUCGCUAGUAAUCGCGAAUCAGAAUGUCGCGGUGAAUACGUUCCCGGGUCUUGUACACACCGCCCGUCACACCAUGGGAGUCGGAAAUGCCCAAAGUCAGUGACCUAACCGAAAGGGAGGAGCUGCCGAAGGUGGAGCCGGUAACCGGGGUGAAGUCGUAACAAGGUACC